AACCGACUGAGCCACCCAGGCGCCCUGGAAUCCUUUUUUGAAAAGAGAUUGGCAUAGAGGAAAAUUGCUAAAACUACGUCAGCCUUCUUCCCCCUAGGAGGAAGAGAACAGCGCCUUAGCUUCUUGCCCACUUCAGCUCGAUGUGGCUGUGUGGAGCCCCAACUCAACACCUUUCAAAACCUGCUGUACGUACGGACAACAAAUUCAGGGUCACUCUCAGAUGCCAGAGUAGCAACGGCCUCUGCACUCAGCUCUCAGAAACAACUCUCCCUCCUUUCCAAAUUCAGGAGCAACAAUUCCCAGACUCUCGAGGUGCCCCUGUGGACUCAUCUUCGGGUUUUGACAAGUCCUUGUAAACUAGACUGACUCUUGGCUUGAGUGGGCACAGCAAACGGUGCAUCGCAGGCAAAGGAGACUGAAAAGAAAGAAAACUCCCACAUUCCUCAUUGAAGGCUCUGUGAGUCCUAAAGAGUUCCUGGUCUUCCUGUUUAAUUCUCCUGCGUUCUGGGAAAUAUGUGCGAUGUAAAACUUAGUGAUAAAGAGACGUGACAGACUUCUGAAGAGGUGACAGAAGCUCAGCCUCCAAAAGGCGGUCUGCAGGAUUUUUGUGACCCUCAUUCCACGUGGGUGACUACGGUGCUCUGCCCACGUUAACAUCCAAGACCCACAAACGACAGCCGGAGAGAAUGGUCUCCGAUAAGAGUGACGUUCUCUGCCUGGAGCCAUCUGUAGGCUGAAGUAUGUUGAUAAGCACGCCAUAAAUUGUAACCUUAACAAGCCAGCCUCCAGUUUUAGAGGGAAGCCAGUGCAGCCCACUGCAUAGAUAAGAGCUCAUUCUCAAGUCCAGAGAGGAAAGGUUACGAGCAGCUCUCUCUUUUCUCCCUGAGCUAGCUGCUGUACAAAGGAAACUGGCGAGGCAGUGACAGUGGCCACCAAAAUUGUUUCCAUUUUCUGCAAAUCACUCUCCCCAAGAGUGGAGACCCUUUCCAAGUCACAUAACCGUGUCAAGUUUGGGUCAUUAAUCACUGUCCCCGGCACUGGAGGAUCCUUUGGUUAAUGGUGUUACUUCCUGAGCCAGGCUUCUCACUAUCUAUGGGCAGGAUUUAUGCCUCAUUAUUCUCUUGGCUAAAGAGUUCCUCAAAUUUCCUGAGGCUUUCCUCUCCCCACAGGAUGAGGAGGAAGAGGACAACUCCCAUUCUGGGUCGUGCUUUGUUUCUCCCUUUGAAUUGUGAGUGAUCUAUGCUGCUUCUCCCUCUUAGCCGUCACUAUAACUGAUGGGCCUCUAGAUUUAUUGGUUCAAUUAGGGCUCUAUCUACAUGACAGCAACUGGUGGGUUUGCUCUAGUUCCCGACAAAAGUUGUGAAUUGGGUAGUGAAAAGUAUCGAUCCAUUUGCUGAUCAGUUGAAUGUAAUCUGUCCGAGUAACCUCUGAACGGUGAGUAAAUAAUCCAGGGAUCAUAUACAACAGUGUUAUGGAAAGGAAACUUUUCAAAAUAUUGUCUUUUCCACCACAUAGUGCUGUAGUUUGGCAAUUCUGAUCUUGUUUCUGCCAAGUCGAUAUAGCAAAAUGUAUAUUAUUUUCUGUUAACCAGCUAUCAGGCUAAGUAAAAUGUGAAUUUUGAGAGUUCAUUCCUAACAACUCCUUUUAAUGAACACCUGGUCAACCACGUUACUCAGAUCUGAUGUCAUAGACUGCACAACCUCAGGGAACCAUUUAGAUUAUUUGACUGGAAAAGUAAUUGAUUUGAAACCAACACAAAUGCCAAAGUAGUAGAUGUAGGUAGCCUCUCUGUUUAUCAUUUCCUUGGCCUCCCUCAUCAACUGAACCCCAUUAUGUUGAGGUAUUUGGUGACGAUGUGCUUCACGGGUCCUCCCCUGUCCCAGGAGUGAACGUUGACAAGGCACAUCCACUGCU